rnacentral:rRNA from 1 species
ACAUCCAGAGAAUUUAGCAGAGAUGCUUUAGUGCCUUCGGGAACUCUGAGACAGGUGCUGCAUGGCUGUCGUCAGCUCGUGUUGUGAAAUGUUGGGUUAAGUCCCGNAACGAGCGCAACCCUUAUCCUUUGUUGCCAGCACGUAAUGGUGGGAACUCAAAGGAGACUGCCGGUGAUAAACCGGAGGAGGGUGGGGAUGACGUCAAGUCAUCAUGGCCCUUACGAGUAGGGCUACACACGUGCUACAAUGGCGCAUACAAAGAGAAGCGACCUCGCGAGAGCAAGCGGGACCUCAUAAAGUGCGUCGUAGUCCGGAUUGGAGUCUGCAACUCGACUCCAUGAAGUCGGAAUCGCUAGUAAUCGUAAAUCAGAAUGUUACGGUGAAUACGUUCCCGGGCCUUGUACACACCGCCCGUCACACCAUGGGAGUGGGUUGCAAAAGAAGUAGAUAGCUUAACCUUCGGGAGGGCGUUUACCACUUUGUGAUUCAUGACUGGGGUGAAGUCGUAACAAGGUAGGCGUAGUGCU